AUAUUUCUCAUUGUUCUCAGUUGCUUUUCCAUCCAGAGAGCUGGUAGGGCCAGGCUACCUUUGCUUCAGAGGCAUAACUUGGAUCCUGUUCUCCAAGUGCUUGGAUCCUGUUCUCCAGGGCUGUCAAGAGAAUUCUGAUGGAAACAGGAGUGGAAAAUGCCGGUGUUCACUGAUUUGUCCCACAUCCGGAACUGCAAUCAAGUCUUAUGAAUGUGAAAAUGAGAAAAAGAUGCAAUCCUAUUUAGAGAAGCGGCAGCAGCAACACCUUUUGGUAUCUGCCUUGGAUCCAAAUUGAUCUUA